UACGUAGGGGGCAAGCGUUGUCCGGAUUUAUUGGGCGUAAAGAGCGUGUAGGCGGCCAGACAGGUCUGCUGUGAAAACUCGAGGCUCAACCUCGAGACGCCGGUGGAAACCGUUUGGCUAGAGUCCGGAAGAGGAGAGUGGAAUUCCCGGUGUAGCGGUGAAAUGCGCAGAUAUCGGGAAGAACACCCGUGGCGAAGGCGGCUCUCUGGGACGGUACUGACGCUGAGACGCGAAAGCGUGGGGAGCGAACAGG
rnacentral:rRNA from 1 species